rnacentral:rRNA from 1 species
GACGAACGCUGGCUUUGUGCUUAACACAUGCAAGUCGAACGGAAAGGCCCUGCUUUUGUGGGGUGCUCGAGUGGCGAACGGGUGAGUAACACGUGAGUAACCUGCCCUUGACUUUGGGAUAACUUCAGGAAACUGGGGCUAAUACCGGAUAGGAGCUCCUGCUGCAUGGUGGGGGUUGGAAAGUUUCGGCGGUUGGGGAUGGACUCGCGGCUUAUCAGCUUGUUGGUGGGGUAGUGGCUUACCAAGGCUUUGACGGGUAGCCGGCCUGAGAGGGUGACCGGCCACAUUGGGACUGAGAUACGGCCCAGACUCCUACGGGAGGCAGCAGUGGGGAAUAUUGCACAAUGGGCGGAAGCCUGAUGCAGCAACGCCGCGUGCGGGAUGACGGCCUUCGGGUUGUAAACCGCUUUCGCCUGUGACGAAGCGUGAGUGACGGUAAUGGGUAAAGAAGCACCGGCUAACUACGUGCCAGCAGCCGCGGUGAUACGUAGGGUGCGAGCGUUGUCCGGAUUUAUUGGGCGUAAAGGGCUCGUAGGUGGUUGAUCGCGUCGGAAGUGUAAUCUUGGGGCUUAACCCUGAGCGUGCUUUCGAUACGGGUUGACUUGAGGAAGGUAGGGGAGAAUGGAAUUCCUGGUGGAGCGGUGGAAUGCGCAGAUAUCAGGAGGAACACCAGUGGCGAAGGCGGUUCUCUGGGCCUUUCCUGACGCUGAGGAGCGAAAGCGUGGGGAGCGAACAGGCUUAGAUACCCUGGUAGUCCACGCUGUAAACGGUGGGUACUAGGUGUGGGGUCCAUUCCACGGGUUCCGUGCCGUAGCUAACGCUUUAAGUACCCCGCCUGGGGAGUACGGCCGCAAGGCUAAAACUCAAAGGAAUUGACGGGGCCCCGCACAAGCGGCGGAGCAUGCGGAUUAAUUCGAUGCAACGCGUAGAACCUUACCUGGGUUUGACAUGGAUCGGGAGCGCUCAGAGAUGGGUGUGCCUCUUUUGGGGUCGGUUCACAGGUGGUGCAUGGCUGUCGUCAGCUCGUGUCGUGAGAUGUUGGGUUAAGUCCCGCAACGAGCGCAACCCUUGUUCACUGUUGCCAGCACGUUAUGGUGGGGACUCAGUGGAGACCGCCGGGGUCAACUCGGAGGAAGGUGGGGAUGACGUCAAGUCAUCAUGCCCCUUAUGUCCAGGGCUUCACGCAUGCUACAAUGGCUGGUACAGAGAGUGGCGAGCCUGUGAGGGUGAGCGAAUCUCGGAAAGCCGGUCUCAGUUCGGAUUGGGGUCUGCAACUCGACCUCAUGAAGUCGGAGUCGCUAGUAAUCGCAGAUCAGCAACGCUGCGGUGAAUACGUUCCCGGG